rnacentral:rRNA from 1 species
GACGAACGCUGGCGGCGUGCUUAACACAUGCAAGUCGAACGGUGAAGCGCCUUCCUUUUUGGUGGGUGUGGAUGAGUGGCGAACGGGUGAGUAACACGUGAGUAACCUGCCCCCUUCUUCUGGAUAACCGCAUGAAAGUGUGGCUAAUACGGGAUAUUCUGGGUCUGUCGCAUGAUGGGUCUGGGAAAGAUAUUGUUUCGGUGGGGGAUGGGCUCGCGGCCUAUCAGCUUGUUGGUGGGGUGAUGGCCUACCAAGGCGGUGACGGGUAGCCGGCCUGAGAGGGUGGACGGUCACACUGGGACUGAGACACGGCCCAGACUCCUACGGGAGGCAGCAGUGGGGAAUAGUGCACAAUGGGCGCAAGCCUGAUGCAGCGACGCCGCGUGAGGGAUGGAGGCCUUCGGGUUGUGAACCUCCUUCGCCAGUGAAGCAGGCCUGCCUCGUUUGUGGGUGGGUUGACGGUAGCUGGAGAAGAAGCGCCGGCUAACUACGUG